GACGGGCUCAUGUCCUAUCAGCUUGUUGGUAGGGUAACGGCCUACCAAGGCAUCGACGGGUAGCUGGUCUGAGAGGACGAUCAGCCACACUGGCACUGCGACACGGGCCAGACUCCUACGGGAGGCAGCAGUGAGGAAUAUUGCGCAAUGGGCGAAAGCCUGACGCAGCGACGCCGCGUGGGGGAUGAAGGUCUUCGGAUUGUAAACCCCUUUCGGGUGGGAAGACGGCCCUAGACAACUAGGGCGGACGGUACCGCCAGAAGCAGCCACGGCUAACUUCGUGCCAGCAGCCGCGGUAAUACGAAGGUGGCAAGCGUUGUUCGGAUUUACUGGGUGUAAAGGGAGCGUAGGUGGUUAGGUAAGCCCUCCGGGAAAUCUUCAGGCUUAGCCUGAAAAGGUCGGGGGGGACUGCCUGGCUAGAGGACGGGAGAGGAGCGCGGAAUUCCCGGUGUAGCGGUGAAAUGCGUAGAGAUCGGGAGG
rnacentral:rRNA from 1 species